rnacentral:rRNA from 1 species
UAGGGAAUAUUGCACAAUGGGGGAAACCCUGAUGCAGCGACGCCGCGUGAGUGACGAAGGUCUUCGGAUUGUAAAGCUCUUUUGGCGGGGACGAUAAUGACGGUACCCGCAGAAUAAGCCCCGGCUAACUUCGUGCCAGCAGCCGCGGUAAUACGAAGGGGGCUAGCGUUGUUCGGAAUUACUGGGCGUAAAGCGCACGUAGGCGGAUUUGUAAGUCAGGGGUGAAAUCCCGGGGCUCAACCUCGGAACUGCCCUUGAUACUGCAAAUCUCGAGUCCGAUAGAGGUGAGUGGAAUUCCUAGUGUAGAGGUGAAAUUCGUAGAUAUUAGGAAGAACACCAGUGGCGAAGGCGGCUCACUGGAUCGGUACUGACGCUGAGGUGCGAAAGCGUGGGGAGCAAACAGGAUUAGAUACCCUAGUAGUCCCUGAGCGGGCUGGCAAGGCGCAU